GCCCAGGUGGUGAAAUUGGUAUACACAAGGGACUUAAAAUCCCUCGGCUUAAUCGCUAUGCGGGUUCAAGUCCCGCUCUGGGCACCA
rnacentral:tRNA from 1 species